UACGGAGGGGGCGAGCGUUAUCCGGAAUUAUUGGGCGUAAAGGGCGCGUAGGCGGCUAAGCAAGUCAAAGGUGAAAUCCCUCGGCUCAACUGAGGAACUGCCUUUGAAACUGCUUGGCUUGAGUCCGGGAGGGGGUAGCGGAAUUCCCAGUGUAGCGGUGAAAUGCGUAGAUAUUGGGAGGAACACCAGUGGCGAAGGCGGCUACCUGGACCGGAACUGACGCUGAUGCGCGAAAGCGUGGGUAGCAAACAGG
rnacentral:rRNA from 1 species